CCCUAGCCCUGAUGGUCCCGAAGCUUCGGGAGGCAUCCUUUUGUGCCGGGGUUCGGCACAAAAGAUAUAGCGGACAGCAGGAAUCAGC
rnacentral:sRNA from 1 species